rnacentral:rRNA from 1 species
AAGCACGAAACUUGCCCCGAGAUGAGUUCUCCCUGACUCCUUGAGAGUCCUGAAGGAACGUUGAAGACGACGACGUUGAUAGGCCGGGUGUGUAAGCGCAGCGAUGCGUUGAGCUAACCGGUACUAAUGAACCGUGAGGCUUAACCUUACAACGCCGAAGCUGUU